UGGGGAAUAUUGGACAAUGGGCGCAAGCCUGAUCCAGCAAUGCCGCGUGUGUGAAGAAGGCCUUAGGGUUGUAAAGCACUUUCAGAAGUGACGAUAAUGACGGUAGCUUCAGAAGAAGUCCCGGCUAACUCCGUGCCAGCAGCCGCGGUAAUACGGAGGGGACUAGCGUUGUUCGGAAUUACUGGGCGUAAAGCGUACGCAGGCGGAUCGAUAAGUUGGGGGUGAAAUCCCGGGGCUCAACCCCGGAACUGCCCUCAAAACUGUUGAUCUAGAGACCGGGAGAGGUAAGUGGAAUACCUAGUGUAGAGGUGAAAUUCGUAGAUAUUAGGUGGAACACCAGUGGCGAAGGC
rnacentral:rRNA from 1 species